rnacentral:rRNA from 1 species
UACGGAGGGUGCGAGCGUUGUUCGGAUUUACUGGGCGUAAAGGGUGCGUAGGCGGGUUGGCAGGUCGGAUGUGAAAACCCCACGGCUUAACCGGGGGCCUGCAUUCGAAACCGCCGAUCUUGAGUACGGGAGAGGAAAGCGGAAUUCCUGGUGUAGCGGUGAAAUGCGUAGAUAUCAGGAGGAACACCGGUGGCGAAGGCGGCUUUCUGGCCCGAUACUGACGCUCAGGCACGAAGGCUAGGGGAGCAAACAGGAUUAGAUACCCGCGUA